GGUGAGCCCAGCUUGCUGGGUGGAUCAGUGGCGAACGGGUGAGUAACACGAGAGCAACCUGCCCCUGACUCUGGGAUAAGCGCUGGAAACGGCGUCUAAUACUGGAUAUGUGACGUGACCGCAUGGUCUGCGUUUGGAAAGAUUUUUCGGUUGGGGAUGGGCUCGCGGCCUAUCAGCUUGUUGGUGAGGUAAUGGCUCACCAAGGCGUCGACGGGUAGCCGGCCUGAGAGGGUGACCGGCCACACUGGGACUGAGACACGGCCCAGAYUCYUACGGGAGGCAGCAGUGGGGAAUAUUGCACAAUGGGCGCAAGCCUGAUGCAGCAACGCCGCGUGAGGGAUGACGGCCUUCGGGUUGUAAACYUCUUUUAGCAGGGAAGAAGCGAAAGUGACGGUACCUGCAGAAAAAGCGCCGGCUAACUACGUGCCAGCAGCCGCGGUAAUACGUAGGGCGCAAGCGUUAUCCGGAAUUAUUGGGCGUAAAGAGCUCGUAGGCGGUUUGUCGCGUCUGCUGUGAAAUCCCGAGGCUCAACCUCGGGCCUGCAGUGGGUACGGGCAGACUAGAGUGCGGUAGGGGAGAUUGGAAUUCCUGGUGUAGCGGUGGAAUGCGCAGAUAUCAGGAGGAACACCGAUGGCGAAGGCAGAUCUCUGGGCCGUAACUGACGCUGAGGAGCGAAAGGGUGGGGAGCAAACAGGCUUAGAUACCCUGGUAGUCCACCCCGUAAACGUUGGGAACUAGUUGUGGGGUCCAUUCCACGGAUUCCGUGACGCAGCUAACGCAUUAAGUUCCCCGCCUGGGGAGUACGGCCGCAAGGCUAAAACUCAAAGGAAUUGACGGGGACCCGCACAAGCGGCGGAGCAUGCGGAUUAAUUCGAUGCAACGCGAAGAACCUUACCAAGGCUUGACAUAUACGAGAACGGGCCAGAAAUGGUCAACUCUUUGGACACUCGUAAACAGGUGGUGCAUGGUUGUCGUCAGCUCGUGUCGUGAGAUGUUGGGUUAAGUCCCGCAACGAGCGCAACCCUCGUUCUAUGUUGCCAGCACGUAAUGGUGGGAACUCAUGGGGAUACUGCCGGGGUCAACUCGGARGAAGGUGGGGAUGACGUCAAAUCAUCAUGCCCCUUAUGUCUUGGGCUUCACGCAUGCUACAAUGGCCGGUACAAAGGGCUGCAAUACCGCGAGGUGGAGCGAAUCCCAAAAAGCCGGUCCCAGUUCGGAUUGAGGUCUGCAACUCGACCUCAUGAAGUCGGAGUCGCUAGUAAUCGCAGAUCAGCAACGCUGCGGUGAAUACGUUCCCGGGUCUUGUACACACCGCCCGUCAAGUCAUGAAAGUCGGUAACACCUGAAGCCGGUGGCCUAACCCUUGUGGAGGAGC
rnacentral:rRNA from 1 species